CUCUUCUUCAACCGCCCCACACCUUUCUCUUUCUUUUCUCUCUUUCUGUAGUGGUCCUCUCUUUCACAUCGAGAGGAUAUGUUAGAUCUGGGAUUGACGGCGACGGCGUCGAGUUUUGCUGUCGAGAAUGAUAGGCGGCAGGAGGAUGAGGCGGCGAGUGGCGAAGAGGAUGACGGCAGGAAAAAGAAAAAAAAAAUAUAAUGUUGCCGGAUGACGAGAGGCGCAAAAUCCAGUACACAAUAGAGUACGCGUUAUUUGCUAUAGUGUACAACACUCUGGAGUCGGAUCCUCCAGGACAGUCGGUGUUCGAAAUAAUGCAGAAUUGUGGAGGUGAGUACAAGAGCAUACCAAUACUGGUGCCACACGAUUGGAAGCCUUGCCUUAAAGCGGCCCAACGGAUGGUGGAGCAGCCGUGUUGUCGUCAAUUGAAAGAACAUGUUUUGCAGCCGCACCGUACGUGUUGUACAGGAUAACUUGAGCGCAAGGGCCAAUUAUAUCCGCUACCUAGGGAGAGCUAACCGCUACCUCUUCAAGGCUCGCCUUUACAUGAAUGACGCUUGCGUUGAAGAAGAUAGGGCUGGAGAGAAGAAACAAACUGAGGCUAUGGAAGCAAAAUUAAGGACAACUGAUGAAGAAGAUAGGGCUUGGCUGCUAGGAUUUCGUUGCGGCUGCGUUUACUGCUGGCCGACUGAGAGUUAUUCGCGGCUAGGGUUCGGAAUAGUAUACCGUAGUAAAUCAUAGUAUACCAUAGUACACCGUAGUACACCAUAGUACACCGUAGUACACCAUAUUAUACCAUAGUCUACUACAGAUUGUUGUAGUGUAUAUAUAUGAACAGACAAAGAAUGUGUCAAAGUGAAGUUCAUGUUUCA